rnacentral:rRNA from 1 species
UACUGGGCGUAAAGCGCACGCAGGCGGUCUGUCAAGUCGGAUGUGAAAUCCCCGGGCUCAACCUGGGAACUGCAUUCGAAACUGGCAGGCUGGAGUCUUGUAGAGGGGGGUAGAAUUCCAGGUGUAGCGGUGAAAUGCGUAGAGAUCUGGAGGAAUACCGGUGGCGAAGGCGGCCCCCUGGACAAAGACUGACGCUCAGGUGCGAAAGCGUGGGGAGCAAACAGGAUUAGAUACCCUGGUAGUCCACGCCGUAAACGAUGUCGAUUUGGAGGUUGUGCCCUUGAGGCGUGGCUUCCGGAGCUAACGCGUUAAAUCGACCGCCUGGGGAGUACGGCCGCAAGGUUAAAACUCAAAUGAAUUGACGGGGGCCCGCACAAGCGGUGGAGCAUGUGGUUUAAUUCGAUGCAACGCGAAGAACCUUACCUGGUCUUGACAUCCACAGAACUUUCCAGAGAUGGAUUGGUGCCUUCGGGAACUGUGAGACAGGUGCUGCAUGGCUGUCGUCAGCUCGUGUUGUGAAAUGUUGGGUUAAGUCCCGCAACGAGCGCAACCCUUAUCCUUUGUUGCCAGCGGUUAGGCCGGGAACUCAAAGGAGACUGCCAGUGAUAAACUGGAGGAAGGUGGGGAUGACGUCAAGUCAUCAUGGCCCUUACGACCAGGGCUACACACGUGCUACAAUGGCGCAUACAAAGAGAAGCGACCUCGCGAGAGCAAGCGGACCUCAUAAAGUGCGUCGUAGUCCGGAUUGGAGUCUGCAACUCGACUCCAUGAAGUCGGAAUCGCUAGUAAUCGUAGAUCAGAAUGCUACGGUGAAUACGUUCCCGGGCCUUGUACACACCGCCCGUCACACCAUGGGAGUGGGUUGCAAAAGAAGUAGGUAGCUUAACCUUCGGGAGGGCGCUUACCACUUUGUGAUUCAUGACUGGGGUGAAGUCGUAACAAGGUAACCGUAGGGGAACCUGCGGUUGGAUCACCUCCUUACCUUAAAGAA